rnacentral:rRNA from 1 species
GACGAACGCUGGCGGUGCGCCUUAUGCAUGCAAGUCGAGCGAAGCUUUUCAGUAGUUUACUACAGAAAAUGACUGAGCGGCGAACGGGUGAGUAACGCGUGAGCAAUCUACCUUAGUUACAGGGAUAGCCCGAGGAAACUCGGAUUAAUACCUGAUAUUCUUUAUAUUUCGCAUGAAAAAAAAAGGAAAGGUCAGCCGAACUAAGAUGAGCUCGCGUUCUAUCAGCUAGUUGGUGAGGUAAAAGCUCACCAAGGCUACGACGGAUAGCUGGUCUGAGAGGACGAUCAGCCACACUGGGACUGAGACACGGCCCAGACUCCUACGGGAGGCUGCAGCAGGGAAUAUUGCGCAAUGAGCGAAAGCUUGACGCAGCGACACCGCGUGUGGGAUGACGGAUCUAGGUGAGUAAACCACUUUCAGGAGGGAAGAAAAUGACGGUACCUCCACAAGAAGCAUCGGCCAACUACGUGCCAGCAAAG